rnacentral:ncRNA from 1 species
UAAUAGUUUUAUUCUUGUUUAUUUAUUUAUUUUUAUAUUAAUUUAUAUGUUAAUUUUUGUAAAUGUUUUAUUUCUUAAUGGAUUAAAAUUUACUUAUUUGCAGUAAAUAAUAUUAUAUAUUUAGGUUACUUUGAUUUAGUUAUUUUUAUUAAUUAUUGAAUAAAUAUGUGCCAGCAUUCGCGGUUAUACAUUAAAUGUUAAUAAAUAUUUUUAGUUAAUGUGGUUAAAUUAUUAUGAAAUUUUUUGUUGAUGUAUUAGUAGGUAAAAUUAUUAAUUUUUGUUAUUUUGUUGAAUUGAGGCUUUUGAAGCUAUGAAAUUUAAAAUAUCUAAACUAGGAUUAGAUACCCUAUUAUUUUUUAUUUAAAUUUAUUUAACUUGGGUAUUACUAGAUUAUUGUCUUGAAACCUAAAGAAUUUGGCGGUGUUUUAAUUCUUUUUAGAGGAAUCUGUUCCUUAAUCGAUAAUCCUCGAUGUACCUUACUUUUUUUAAAAUUGGCUUAUAUACCGCCGUUGUUGAAUUUUUUUUUAGGAUAAUUAAUUUUCUUUAUUUAUAAUUUAUAAAAUAUUUCAGGUCAAGGUGUAGUUUAUAAUUAUAGUGGAAAUGGAUUACAAUAUUUUGUUGAUAUAUGAAUAAUUUUUGUAAAAUUUUUUUGAAAGUGGAUUUAAUAGUAAUUUUAUAAAUAUUAUUAAAUUGAAAGAAGCUCUGAAGCAUGUACAUAUCGCCCGUCACUCUCGUUAGUUUUAAAAGAUGAGAUAAGUCGUAACAAAGUAGGUGUACUGGAAAGUGUACCUAGAAUUAU